GCCAGCAGCCGCGGUAAUACGGAGGGUGCAAGCGUUGUCCGGAUUUAUUGGGUUUAAAGGGUGCGUAGGUGGCUUUCUAAGUCUGACCUGAAAGUGGGCCGCUUAACGGCACAGGGUGGUUGGAUACUGGAGGGCUUGAAACAAGUGGAGGCAGGCGGAACGGAUUGUGUAGCGGUGAAAUGCAUAGAGAUGAUCCAGAACCCCGAUUGCGAAGGCAGCCUGCUACGCUUGCUUUGACACUGAGGCACGAGAGCAUGGGGAGCAAACAGGAUUAGAUACCCUGGUAGUCCACACUGUAAACGAUGAUUACUAGGUGUAGGGUGGCUGAACCAUUCUGUGCCGGAGUUAACA
rnacentral:rRNA from 1 species